AAAGGAAGACAGAAGCAAUACCCAGACCUUGAACUAUCCAUAUCCUUAAAAUGUGGAAUCAACAGAAUUGUUUCUGAAGGCUCUGCCUCUGGACAUCAGAAGAGUCAGAUGACAUGUCACCGGAAAAAGUGUGUACAGCAUGAAGGCACAUGGAAGAAAAUUCCAUCCAGGAGGAAUGACUUCACAGGCUGUAAAAUAUUGCUUCUGCCCUGGCAACAAUUUUUAAUAAAGCUGGAUGUUUUUAGCAGCUAAAGUCAAAUUUGUCUUUAGCAUCCUCCCCAUUUUAGAAACAGGACUGAAUAAACAAUUCCUGUCACACAAGAAAACUCUCUUGCUCAUUGGAAUUGGUGGGCUCUUCGGCACCCUUCCUUGGACAGAUGGACACUGGCUGGCUGUACCUGGGACAUUUGCUCACCUCUUCCUAUGGCUGACAAUCAUCUGGACCACACCAACACCAGUGGCUCCAAUCAGUGAGACAGAUCCUCAAACACUUGUAUAUCACAGGCUGUUUUUCCAUGGUGUUAUAACACUGCAUCCAUACCGCAUAGGUAGAGUUAGAGCAUCACUGAGAGAAGCCUGGACAUGUCCUUAGUAUCCAUCAGGGCUGCAAACAUCCCCUGUACUGAUGCCCAAGAAACCAUAUGUCAGAAUAGAUAACAAAACUUAAACUGAUGCGCCCCAAACUCUUUGAAUCCUUCACACCUCCUGUGAAGGU